ACUUUUUACUACUCCUACUUCUCACUAUCUCCACUGCCACCACUUUGAUCUGAGCCACUCCGUCCUGGAUUAUUCUAAUAGUCUCCAGCCUACUCUCC